UACGAAGGGUGCAAGCGUUACUCGGAAUUACUGGGCGUAAAGGGUGCGUAGGUGGUUUUUUAAGUCCGUUGUGAAAUCCCUGGGCUCAACCUGGGAAUGGCAGUGGAUACUGGAAAGCUAGAGUGCGGUAGAGGGUAGUGGAAUUCCCGGUGUAGCAGUGAAAUGCGUAGAGAUCGGGAGGAACACCAGUGGCGAAGGCGGCUACCUGGACCAGCACUGACACUGAAGCACGAAAGCGUGGGGAGCAAACAGG
rnacentral:rRNA from 1 species